GUAAAACACUAAAUCUAGGGACCACUCUAUUCACCCUACAGUGACUGCUCUUUUUCCCUCCUGCCACGGUCCAGGGUAGGAGAUACUUCUCCAGGCUCUCACUUAUGGGGGCUUUCCUGCUGGCUACAUCACUGAAAUGGAAUCUCCUAGUGGCCCUUCUCCCUCUACAGCUCUGGUGUUACACUGAAAAACUAGAAGUUUCAAAACAGACAAGGGAAAAAGAGAAACAUCAGAAAGUCUGAUUAAAGUAGAAGCAUCAUAUUUCUAUCAACGUAUCCACUGUGCUUGGACUCUGUAAUAUUCACCGGCAGGAAAACCCAAGGGAAUGACUACUAUGACAUCUGAUGAUGUGCCUGCUUCUCCUUCACCUUCUGCCAUGAUUGAAUGUUUCCUGAGGCCUCCCCAGCCAUGCUUCCUGUAUAGCCUGCAGAACGCUGCUCACUGAUGUCACUUAGAGGAAGGCAGGGGCACAAGAUGGGAGGACCCAGAGCUCCUGGUUCUUAAGCAUUAUAGUAUACGUAGCCUUGGAAUCAGAAGACCAAGAACAUACAAGAGAACAUAGCCUUGGAAUCAGAAGACCAAGAAACAAUUUAACUCUGCCCCUCCAGAGCUCUGAGAACUUGGGCAAGCCUCUUACCCUCUGUGAGUUUCAGUUUCCUCAUUUAUUUAAUUGAAAUAAUAAUACAGAUCACCUGAAAUGUAAUGAAAAUUAAACAUCCUUAUGUAGGUGAAACUAAUUGGCAGCAUGCCUGGAAUAUAGUGAGUGCUCAAUAAAUGCUUUUAU